UGUUCUAACUUCAGAGUCCCCCAUGGCCUCAUCUAGCUUUCUUCGAUGUCUUCUCUUACAGAGGAGGAAAACGUUCUCCAAGCAAGUUAAUGAAUUCAAGAUCUGGAUAUCUCCAAAAAGAGGAUACAUUCACGGGCUGCAGAUGCUUUAGAAUACGACUGCUGCACAUCUUCAGAUUCACCCUUAUGGAUCCUUGAAACACGGACUUCAGUGGCUAUAUUCAAGAUAUGAGAUGUAAGGUUAGAUAUUUAUUUUAUUUUGCUUCAAGAGCUUCAUAAGUUACUCAUGACACUCCUCUAGAGUUAUACAAGUACUAUUACUGUUUUCCUUUCUUUUCGUCUCUGUGUUUUUUGUCCCCUUUUUAUUGUCAACCUCCCAAGCUAAUGUUGUAAGG